rnacentral:rRNA from 1 species
CCUACGGUGCGCAGCAGUCGAGAAUCAUUCACAAUGGGGGAAACCCUGAUGGUGCGACGCCGCGUGGGGGAAUGAAGGUCUUCGGAUUGUAAACCCCUGUCAUGUGGGAGCAAAUUAAAAAGAUAGUACCACAAGAGGAAGAGACGGCUAACUCUGUGCCAGCAGCCGCGGUAAUACAGAGGUCUCAAGCGUUGUUCGGAAUCACUGGGCGUAAAGCGUGCGUAGGCUGUUUCGUAAGUCGUGUGUGAAAGGCGCGGGCUCAACCCGCGGACGGCACAUGAUACUGCGAGACUAGAGUAAUGGAGGGUGAACCGGAAUUCUCGGUGUAGCAGUGAAAUGCGUAGAUAUCGAGAGGAACACUCGUGGCGAAGGCGGGUUCCUGGACAUUAACUGACGCUGAGGCACGAAGGCCAGGGGAGCGAAAGGGAUUAGAUACCCCUGUAGUC